rnacentral:misc_RNA from 1 species
GUAAAGACGAAACCCCAUUAGGGUCUGCCUCUGCCUCCGAUCGGGGUUGAACCUUCUCAGAGUCAGACCCACCGUCCACGUCGGCGGUUUGGGUUGGGUUAUCUCCAUUAGACGGCGGAGAAUCACGGCGGCGGAAACGGUGGUUAGCAUUUGUGUUACUUUUGUUACCCCACUUCAAUUGGGGUAGAGAGAAAUAGUGCAGAGGCUGAG